rfam:Salmo salar isolate Sally breed double haploid chromosome ssa18, whole genome shotgun sequence.
UGCACGCAUGACUGUAAGUAAGUCACUUUGGAUAAAAGUGUCUGCUAAAUUACAUAUA